AAAUAUUAAAUGACUGGUGGGUCCAUAAAGAUUUACAGUGAUCAACAAUCGUCUCAUAAGAUUGGUGAAGACCUACGAAAAAACUUUGAAGUGUAAUUAAAGGAUAUUUUCGGAAAAUAACGAAGUAUUCUCGCCAUACAAGUAAAAUGCAACACGCUGUUCAAAGAGGGAGAAGGCGCAGAAAUGCUGGCAAAGUUCGCUUGAUAGAGGAUUGCCUUGAGGCUGAUGUUCGAACAAAUCUGAGGCGUUGGUGGAAAGAUGAAAUUUCAGGAGAAACAUGUGUUAAAAACAUAAUGGAUGGUGGGUUUGCAGUUGGAGCUAGAAUAGCUGGCAUUGGAGGUGAAAUAGUUGGUAUGAGAGUCGGUAAUGCGAUCGGUGGGCCUAUCGGUACUGCUAUUGGGACUAUAGCAGGUGGUGUCGUAUCUAGUGCCUGUGCUGUAGCUGGUCAAUUGUUUUCGGACCAUUUAACACAUUGGAUCUUUGGUCUGCCGAAACCUUUGGCUCUGCAAAAUGCGUUCCGUUUUCUGGGGUUGCCGCAGUCGAGCUCCAACAGUGAAAUAAACACGCAAUAUCGAAAACAUGCUUCGCGGUAUCAUCCCGACAAAGGUGGCGACAAGGACAAAUGGACACAACUUCAGUACUCAUUGGCCAUUAUACGCCAAGCAAGGGGAGCACACUAGACAAAAAGCCGCAGUUUUCAAAAGAUUCUCUAUUCGGGUAUAGUAAGCAGCGAAACAAUACCGAGUUCUUCAUUUUAGUAUAAAAUCGAAUUGGUUCAUGAUGUUAAAUACAAUGACAACAGACACGGUUUCAAAGAUACGUAAACAACAGCGUCAAACACAAAAGAGACAAGCGAGUCAUUAGCUUAAUACAAGUAUUAAGUGUUUCAAUCUGAAUAUUCACAUGGUAGUAUAUGGGUUGAACACAUGCACCUAUAGGUGAUCUUACCUGCAGAAUUGAUUUUUAUAUAAAAAAUAUGGACAUUUAUCUGCAUUUCAAUGCAUUGAAGGUCUUGGUUGGACACAUACUUACGCGAAAACCGUGUUUAAAAUAUCAUAACUUUUUACCAUUGAUUCGUGUUUAUAUUUUUUCUAAGAUUCAAUCAUCGGGGGUGGUAUUCAACAUUCAUCUUAAGUUAAGUCUUUUUGUCAUACAUCAUUGAGUUCAUUCACCCUAUUGAUCAGUUAUUAAUAACAAUUAAUCCGAUUAGCUACAUCGUUCUUAGAUCCAAUUAGACCAAUAUUGAAUACCAGCCCGGAACCACUAUGUGCUCCAUAAGCAUGAUGCGUCAUGCUUUAUUUGUAUUGCACAAUGUCUUAUAUGUAUAUGUAUGCUGAUUGUUUGAUAACUACGGCAUUUGCUGAUAUUUUCACUAACAUAUUCUCAGAUUCUCAAGUUCUUUUUAAGUUAUUUAUAUUAUCUUUGAUUGUACUUUAAAAAAAAACGCGUGACACAAAUAUUAUUUUUAGAUUUGCUUGAUUUCCAUUCAUUCCAUAAGAGUUUUAAUACAGGGUCGUAAGAAAGUAAAGAUCUUAAAUGAACGAUUGAUAAUAUUUUAGCAUUAUCAUUAUCCAAAACAUUUUUGGCAAGUUUCACACAAUUUUCUAGCGUCAAUAUAUAUAGCUAGUAAUUGUGAGUGCAGUAAAUAUUCAAAAGAAGACAGAGAAUGUUCCAUUUUGUCAGAUAUCGUCAGUAAAGCCAUUGAAAACGUAUUUUUUCUUGACUUGGAUAUGCGAAAUUUUGUUUAAGUGACUUUCUGUCAUUUGCUUUUUGGUAUGCGUAUAUGUCUAAGAACCAGCUAAAUAAGAAUGAUGACAAACAAUUAUAUCGCAGGUUUUCAUAUCUACGUUCGUAAAUUGAUGUUUUAAAACUCAUUUUUUAAAGCGUUAGUAAAACUUUUAGCCACAAAACUGAAGUUUCGACCGUAAAUAUUAAAAACUGCGAUCUGAUAUUUUGACACCAGUCUUAUAUCACUGUUUCCCACCAAGAUAAAACAAAUAUGCAAAGCAGUCUAUCUGAGAGAGCAAAGUUUUAAGGUAUUCUUAUAGUUGAUUUGGUCAUUACAGUAAUUAUACAAAAAUAAUCACAUUUGUUUUAAGAUAACAUAUACAAUAUGGUCUUCAAGCCAUGUUUUUGGUUUGUGAUGCCUUGUUUUUGUGUUAUCUGUCAUUGGCGUUAACCCUGUGCCAUUAAACGGGGGGUAUGUUUAAACUUAUGACUACUAGACUUGUUUCUGUAGUUUUUCAUAUAAAUAUUCAUAACACUUACAACGGCAAUUCAAGCAAUCAUUAACAGUAUAAUACAAUACUUGAAACAUUCAAGAAAGAUAAGGGUAUCAUAGUCUAUAAUCUUCAACAAUCACAUGAGCAUCAGAAGAUCAUGUAUAACAAUUGCAUUAUUUUUCAAUUUUUAUACACAUGUAAAAGUACAUUACAUUUUGGAACUCUACAAUUUUUCCAUAUUUUUUUAUCAAAGUACCAAGACAUUUAAAUUACCAAUGUUUGUAAAUGUAAAAGGUGUUGUUUAUUUCAUCAAAUAUUCAAAGAAAAAGCAUUUCUUGUGUGAACUCGUGUACAAUCUCCAAGAUUCUUUAUUGGUAUUUGAAAAAGAAAUUAGCAUAUGUACUUCGUAGUUAGGAUGUUUGUUAAAAAAGGUAUUUUAGGCCAGUGGCCUUGUAUUAUCAAUUGAACAAUGGACCAGACUAAACGUACAUUUUGUCUUAUGCGAGUUAUUGUCCUUUUAUGAUAACUUUGUUUGCAUCAUAAUUUGUAUGCUAAUUGUUGAUUUGUUUCUAUUGCAUGAAUGGUUGAGUUAUCACCCUAUAAGUAAAUAACAGUAUAUCCUAAUUCA